UGAAGGGAAGUAAUUCACCUCCUCGUCUCUAUGCAUGAAGUUCAUGAAUCCUUCAUGGUGGUUAUUAUGGUGAGGACAUUUAGGAGCAUUCACUGGGAGCUGAAGAUAGUUAGGUCCAAGGCGAUGCCUCUGUGUAUCCGCAUAAGCAAAACUCCUAGCUUGCAACAUCUUAUCAUCCGAGUAAUGAAUCCCAGGCACCAACGACAUGGAGAACGCCAACAUCUCAUUCUCCGCAAAGAAGUUAUCGAUGUUCUUAUUCAAUACCAAGCGACCAACUGGCUGUAAUGGCAAGAUGUCCUCAGGCCAGAUCUUGGUUACAUCUAGGGGGUCAAAGUCAAAUCUGUCUUCAUGAUCAGGAUCAAUAGUUUGGAUGAACAGUUUCCACUCUGGAUAGUUCCCAGCAGCAAUUGAAUCAUAGAGAUCCUUGGUGGCAUGACUAUGAUUUGAUCCACCGACCUUAAUAGCUUCUUCAUCCAACAAGCAUUUGACUCCACAAGUUGGCUUCCAAUGGAAUUUCACAUACUGUGCUUUCCCAGCUUUGUUGAUCAGCAUGUAGGUAUUAACACCGAAACCAUCCAUGUGCCUGUAAUCUUGUGGA
rnacentral:misc_RNA from 1 species